AGUUUGGACACCGAUUUGGCCAAGGCGUGUAAUUGUUAACCAAGUUAGCUUCGAACAGCACCAAAACAGCAGCAAACAACCGUCAGAACAACAGUCGUACAUAACAACGAAAUGAAAAUGAGCAAGAGCUAAACUGUAUUUCAAUUCUGCGACUACUACACCCAGUCAGGUUACAUUUUUACCUUAACCGAGUUAAAAGAACGUAGCAGGCCACGUUUAUUUUAUGUAUUAUUUUCUCGGUCCAAGUGUGUGUUCAGUCUGUUCUUUUUACCAUUUUAUUCCUGCCCAGUUUGGCAGUCAUAAGCCCGCAUUAUGCUCACUUAAUUAACCGAAAGCCGCUUAGGAGAAUCUCCGCAGACCAAGAUGACGACGGCCUGGCCAAGGGACUUAACUUUAAUGUGUGCUGGUCGAGAUGAGUAAGCCGCUUUUUGGUGGCAGUCUUGGAAUUUUCACGGCCGUUGAUUUUGGUGCAGCCCACGCUGGAAUUUUGGCCACAGGAAGUAGCGCAAAGAAUCUGUUUGCUGUGGAAACCCCACAAAGACUAUGCCCCUCACAAAGUUUGUUGUUUUUGUGCUUGUUUUCUGCUGCUUUUCAUAAAUACAUAUUCUUAUCAAUCCGGCA